ACAGCCACAUCACGUUGAAACACCGGAUUGCGUCCGAACUCCAAAGUUAAGUAACGUCAAGACUGGUCAGUAUCUAGAUGGGUGACCGUUUGGGAAUACCAGAUGCUGCAAG